rnacentral:rRNA from 1 species
AUACGGAGGGUGCAAGCGUUAAUCGGAAUUACUGGGCGUAAAGCGCACGCAGGCGGUUUGUUAAGUCAGAUGUGAAAUCCCCGGGCUCAACCUGGGAACUGCGUCUGAUACUGGCAAGCUUGAGUCUCGUAGAGGGGGGUAGAAUUCCAGGUGUAGCGGUGAAACGCGUAGAGAUCUGGAGGAAUACCGGUGGCGAAGGCGGCCCCCUGGACGAAGACUGACGCUCAGGUGCGAAAGCGUGGGGAGCAAACAGGAUUAGAUCCCCUGGUAGUCCACGCCGUAAACGAUGUCGACUUGGAGGUUGUGCCCUUGAGGCGUGGCUUCCGGAGCUAACGCGUUAAGUCGACCGCCUGGGGAGUACGGCCGCAAGGUUAAAACUCAAAUGAAUUGACGGGG